rnacentral:tRNA from 1 species
AAAGGGAGACCUAAUUCAGGUAAAAGACGAAAAAAAAGUAGUCGCUACCAAGAAUCAAUCCCAAAAGGUCGGAGCGAGGCGAAAUUGGCUUUCAAACUAGGUUCUGGGUUCAAACAAGACCUGAAUCAGGAACAAGGGCUAUUAGCUCAGGUGGUUAGAGCGCACCCCUGAUAAGGGUGAGGUCCCUGGUUCGAGUCCAGGAUGGCCCACCUGCACAGGUGGCAAAAACAAGAGAAGCGAGGAAUCAGCACCUUAUCUUACUUACAUAGUAAGAGAGAAUGCUGGCUCUGAGUAAAGAGUCCAGAGGAACCUUGAAAACUGCAUAGAGCUAGGUGAAAAAGCCAAAAAAGAAGACCGCAAG